UNGGAGAGGAAAGUGGAAUUCNUAGUGUAGCGGUGAAAUGCGUAGAUAUUAGGAAGANCACCAGUGGCGAAGGCGACUUUCUGGACGAAAACUGACGCUGAGGCGCGAAAGCCAGGGGAGCGAACGGGAUUAGAUACCCCGGUAGUCCUGGCCGUGAACGAUGGGUACUAGGUGUAGGAGGUAUCGACCCCUUCUGUGCCGGAGUUAACGCAAUAAGUACCCCGCCUGGGGAGUACGACCGCAAGGUUGAAACUCAAAGGAAUUGACGGGGGCCCGCACAAGCGGUGGAGUAUGUGGUUUAAUUCGACGCAACGCGAAGAACCUUACCAGGUCUUGACAUUGAUGGACAGAACCAGAGAUGGUUCCUCUUCUCCGGAAGCCAGAAAACAGGUGGUGCACGGUUGUCGUCAGCUCGUGUCGUGAGAUGUUGGGUUAAGUCCCGCAACGAGCGCAACCCCUAUCUUAUGUUGCCAGCACGUAAUGGUGGGAACUCAUGAGAGACUGCCGCAGACAAUGCGGAGGAAGGCGGGGAUGACGUCAAAUCAUCAUGCCCCUUAUGACCUGGGCUACACACGUACUACAAUGGGAGUUAAUAGACGGAAGCGAGAUCGCGAGAUGGAGCAAACCCGAGAAACACUCUCUCAGUUCGGAUCGUAGGCUGCAACUCGCCUACGUGAAGUCGGAAUCGCUAGUAAUCGCAGGUCAGCAUACUGCGGUGAAUACGUUCCCGGGCCUUGUACACACCGCCCGUCACACCACGAAAGUCGGAAGUGCCCAA
rnacentral:rRNA from 1 species